rnacentral:misc_RNA from 1 species
UCCGAGUUGACCCCGGCAGUCUCCCAUGAGUCCCCGGCAUAACCCGCUGGCAACAUGGAACGAGGGUUGCGCUCGUUGCGGGACUUAACCCAACAUCUCACGGCACGAGCUGACGACAACCAUGCACCACCUGUAUACCGCCCUUGCGGACCCCAUAUCUCUAUGAGUUUUCGGUAUAUGUCAAGCCUUGGUAAGGUUCUUCGCGUUGCGUCGAAUUAAGCCACAUGCUCCGCCGCUUGUGCGGGCCCCCGUCAAUUCCUUUGAGUUUUAAUCUUGCGACCGUACUCCCCAGGCGGAAUGCUUAAAGCGUUAGCUGCGCUACUGAAGUGCAAGCACCCCAACAGCUAGCAUCCAUCGUUUACGGUGCGGACUAC